CAACGCGCAGAACCUUACCAGCCCUUGACAUCCCGGUCGCGGACUCCAGAGAUGGAGUCCUUCAGUUCGGCUGGACCGGAGACAGGUGCUGCAUGGCUGUCGUCAGCUCGUGUCGUGAGAUGUUGGGUUAAGUCCCGCAACGAGCGCAACCCCCGUCCUUAGUUGCUACCAUUUAGUUGAGCACUCUAAGGAGACUGCCGGUGAUAAGCCGCGAGGAAGGUGGGGAUGACGUCAAGUCCUCAUGGCCCUUACGGGCUGGGCUACACACGUGCUACAAUGGCGGUGACAAUGGGACGCUAAGGGGCAACCCUUCGCAAAUCUCAAAAAGCCGUCUCAGUUCGGAUUGGGCUCUGCAACUCGAGCCCAUGAAGUUGGAAUCGCUAGUAAUCGUGGAUCAGCACGCCACGGUGAAUACGUUCCCGGGCCUUGUACACACCGCCCGUCACACCAUGGGAGUUGGUUUUACCUGAAGACGGUGCGCUAACCCGCAAGGGAGGCAGCCGGCCACGG
rnacentral:rRNA from 1 species